UCGCGAAAACUUCACAAUGGGGGAAACCCCGAUGAGGGAAUUCCAAGUGCCAGCACAUUGUGUUGGCUGUUCUCUGGUCUAAAAAACCGGAGAAGUAAGGGCCGGGUAAGACGGGUGCCAGCCGCCGCGGUAAUACCCGCGGCCCAAGUGGUGGUCGAUAUUAUUGAGCCUAAAACGUCCGUACCCGGUCUUGUAAAUCCUUGGGGAAAUCGACCAGCUCAACUGUUCGAAGUCCGGGGAGACUGCAAGACUUGGGAUCGGGAGAGGUGAGAGGUACUUCUGGGGUAGGGGGAAAAUCCUGUAAUCCUAGAAGGACCACCGGUGGCGAAGGCGGCUCACUAGAACGAAUCCGACGGUGAGGGACGAAGCCCUGGGGCGCAAACG
rnacentral:rRNA from 1 species